CGAUUCUGGCUCAGGAUGAACGCUAGCUACAGGCUUAACACAUGCAAGUCGAGGGGCAGCAUGUGGUGCUGCAACCAAUGAUGGCGACCGGCGCACGGGUGAGUAACGCGUAUCCAACCUUCCCUAUAGUAGAGGAUAGCCCGGCGAAAGUCGGAUUAAUACUCUAUGUUUUCCAAUGCAGACAUCUAGGUUGGAACAAAGGUUCACCGCUAUAGGAUGGGGAUGCGUCUGAUUAGAUAGUCGGCGGGGUAACGGCCCACCGAGUCGACGAUCAGUAGGGGUUCUGAGAGGAAGGUCCCCCACAUUGGAACUGAGACACGGUCCAAACUCCUACGGGAGGCAGCAGUGAGGAAUAUUGGUCAAUGGGCGAGAGCCUGAACCAGCCAAGUAGCGUGCAGGAUGACGGCCCUAUGGGUUGUAAACUGCUUUUAUACAGGGAUAAAGUGACGUACGUGUACGUUAUUGUAGGUACUGUAUGAAUAAGGACCGGCUAAUUCCGUGCCAGCCGCGGC
rnacentral:rRNA from 1 species